AUUGAACGCUGGCGGCCGGCCUAGCACAUGCAAGUCGAGCGGAGCGGCGGACGGGUGAGUACUGCCUAGGAAUCUGCCUGGUAGUGGGGGAUAACGACCGGAAACGGGCGCUAAUACCGCAUACUCACAGAUGAGCCUAGGUCGGAUUAGCUAGUUGGUGGGGUAAAGGCCAACAAAGGCGACGAUCCGUAACUGGUCUGAGAGAAUGAGCAGUCAAUGUGGAAUUGAGACAUGGUCCAAACUCCUACGGGAGGCAGCAGUGGGGAAUAUUGGACAAUGGGCGCAAGCCUGAGCCAGCCAUGCCGCGUGUGGGAAGAAGGUCUUAGGAUUGUAAAGCACUUUAAGUUGGGAGGCGUUACCAACAGAAUAAGCACCGGCUAACUUCGUGCCAGCAGCCGCGGUAAUUC
rnacentral:rRNA from 1 species